CCAACCGCCUCAGGGGAAGACGAGGCCCGGAAGCCCCGAGGCCGGUAGGGGCCAGAAGAGGGCUACAGGGAGCCCCCCAGGCCUCGACCAGCCGUCGCCCGCAGCCCAGAGCUAACUCCUCAGCCCCGGAAAGGCGGGGCCUCCGCCUUUCCCGCGUACGGGUCUCGCCGCCCGGCUCAGCCUCCUCGUAGGCCUUGCGCCAUUGCUGCUACUAUCGGCCGAACGGGGGCGCGGAGCUGGCCCCGGGGCGGGAUGCGGCCGCCCCUGGGGCGGUGGUGGCUGCUAAUCUGGCUGCAGCCCUUGUCCGCGCCGCCCGCUGGCGCGGUGCGCGGAGAGGAGGAGGCGGCGGCGGCGUUGGCAGUUCCAAGGUGUAAAGCUCUGAAGGAAAUGGAUUUAAUUAAAACUUCUGAGUCAGACUGUUACUGCUACAAUCGAAAUUCCCGAAUGGAGUGGAAAUACAUGUGGUCAACUCUGCAGGUGAAAAUUACCAGUUCAGGCCUGCUCAAUAUUGCAUAUAUCACAGGAAGACAUAAUUGUCAGUAUCCAGAAACAAUUCUAUCUUUUAUCAAAUGUGUGAUUCAUAAUUUUUGGACACCAAAGGAGUCUAAUGAAGUUACCAUAAUCAUCAAUCCAUAUGGAGAGACCAUGUGCUUCUCUGUGAAGCCUGUCAGGAAGAUAUUUAUCUAUACAAUUAGAGUGAAUCGAAACAUUGUGGAUUUCAAACUCUUCCUUGUGUUUGUAGCAGGUAUUUUACUCUUCUUUUAUGCAAAGACCUUGAGUAGAAGUCCUAUUUUCUUUUACUCUUCUGGGACCGUGCUAGGUGUUCUAAUGACGUUAGUCUUUGUCCUGCUUCUGGUGAAAAGGUUUAUUCCUAAGUAUAGCACCUUUUGGGCUCUAAUGGUUGGUUGUUGGUUUGCUUCAGUUUAUGUUGUAUGCCAUUUGAUGGAAGAUCUGAAGUGGCUAUGGCAUGAAAACAGAAUAUAUAUAUUAGGCUAUGUUUUGGUAGCUGGAUUUCUCAGCUUUGCUGUUUGUUAUAAGCAUGGGCCCCUGGUUGAUGAAAGGAGCGUGACUCUUUUGACGUGGACCCUGCGGCUCCUCGCCCUGGUUCUGAUCUAUUGUGGAGUCACCGUGCCCCAGGGCUCCUAUGCAGCUCUGAUCCUCAUCCUGGCCUCCAGGAGUCUACGCUACCCACUGAAGGCGUUCACUUAUAUGAGGUGGAAAAUGAAGAAAUGGUGGACAUCCAAGAAGCCAGUGUUUAAGUAUCUGACUGAAGAUGAAUACCGGGAACAGGCUGAUGCUGAGACAAGCAGCGCCCUGGAGGAGCUGCGUGGAGCCUGCCGCAGGCCCGACUUCCCCACGUGGCUGGUAGUCUCCAGACUCCAGGCUCCUAACAACUGGAUCUGAUCCUGGACCGGCCUGGGACUUCAGCAUAGGCAUAGGAAGCCUACCCAGUAGAAGGCAGAGCUGGUAGACGAAGAAACCCAGGUUCUGACUGCAUCAUAUGAGCUCCGAUUAAAGCUACCCCUACAGAUUGCAUGGCUAUUCUGAAUUGUGAAGUUGCUAAAAAAAAUAAGAAAGAAAAAAAAGAGAAGAAAAAGAAAACCCCACAAAAACUCAAAACCUUCAUCUGGAUUGGUGGAAGGCAUUAAAUCAACAAAGGUAGUGCAUGGAUUACCAGUUUAUGACUUAAGAAGAAAACAACCUAUAAUUUCUCUGUAACUCAGAGAAUGAAGUAAAUUGGGACCCUUCUAAAGUAGAACAAGAUUACUAUUCAGAGAUGCUAUUUUCAGCAGAGAAAAGGUGAAGAAAAGAUGCUUACUACUUCAGCAAUAAGAACGGAGCAGUAUUCUUCCUUCCAGUUGGAAAGGCUUUGGAGAGCAGUGGGCAUGGAUGGAAUCCCAGCCACUCGCUUCCUCCAGAGUGACAGUUCCAACCUGUGGGAGCCAUGGAGUCCUUGCCAGAAGUCUUUGAAAGCAUUAAAACGAAUGUGUCACGCCUAUGCCUUCUACUCAUUUUUGGAUGUACACUGAUGCUACCAUCAUGCACUUAUUUCUCUGCCUUCCUUGUGUUGUUGGUGGGGUUACAAGGACCAUCACUGAGGUGCAACAAGGGGACUUGACAGAUAGGAGAUGCCUGGUGCCAGAGCCAACAUAUGCUUUCUGUACUGAGGCACAGGAACCAGGUGCCUGGCCACCGUUCCUGCUCACCAUUUACCCUGACCAGUAGCUGUGGCUUUUAACUGCAUUUGUCAGGCAAAGAACAAGUGGAAGCCAUGCAGGAGCUUUGGCAUCACAAGAUGCUCUAGACCCAUCUCACGUAUUCCAGCACUAGAACCAACUUCUCCAAAGAGCUGUCUUUUUGUUGAAGGAUGGUGUUUAGAAACCAACUGAUUGUGGCCAUUAUAACUGGGAUAUCACUGCUUCUAGGCCCUAUCAGUGGACGGAGUAGGAAAUGUAUUUCUCCAAGAGAAAUGAAGACAUAUGUUCACAUAAUGACUUAUACAUGAAUGUACAUAGCAGCUUUAUUUGUAACAGCCAAGAACUGGAAACAACCUAAAUGUUCAUCAGUACGAGAACAGAUAAACAAAUUGUGGUUUACUCAUACAAUGGAAUACUACUCAGCAGUAAAAAGAAACAACUACUGAUAUAUGCAUUAAUAAAUAUAUAAACAUAUAUGGAUGAAUAUCAAAAAUAAUUAUCUUGAGUGAAAGAAGCCAGACACUCCCCUCCAAAAAAGGAGAGUCCAGUAGAGCUCCAUUUAUAAAAACUAAAAAAUGCCAACUGACCUAUAGGAACAGAAAGCAGAUCCGUGGUUGCCUGGGAAUGGAAAUGAGAGGGGAAGGAAGGGAAGAAUUAUAAAGGGGCAUGAAGAAAAGUUGGAGGAUGAUGGAUAUGUUCAUUAUCUUAAUUGUGGUGACAGCUUUAGGAGUGGUUUACAAAAACUUAUCAAAUUGUACACUUUAAAUAUAUGCAGUUUAUUGCAUAUCAAUUAUACCUUUGCAAAGCUGUGGAGGCAGGGAGGCUGUGACUCAUGUUCUGUGUGAACGAGUAAAAUCACCUCUUUCCUCCUGGCCACUACAGACUGGACCACAGUCCAGUCUUAUUUUAUAAGCCCAGUGCAACUCUGCAAUACUGGACUGAAAGGGAGUCGAUGCCUCAGGGUAUUCAUGGCUUAAAACUCUGUCCAAGAGGAGUGCCCCAGAUUGGUUGCUUCCAAAGGACUCGAGAUAUUAUACAAGAAAUUAGGAAACUUCCCUUCCUUGCUAUAUAAAGUUACCAUUUAUUUUUAGAAUAAACUCUCAUUACUAAGGCUAAUCUGUGCAUGUUAAGGAGCCAGAAAAGUACACCUACUCAUAAUCAUCCUCCAUAUGCUUGCUAAAGUGUUCUUCCAGAACUUCUAGCCAAUGCAGUAAGAAAAUAAAAGAUGAGCUAUACAUAUUGGAAAGGAAGAAAUGAAAUUGUUUUAUGUAUACUAUUUGAUUAUAUAUCUAGAAAAUUCAGGGGAAUCAAACUGAAGAAUUAUUAGAACUAAAAAAUAGGUUGUUAUGUAAUAUGGCAAGGUAUAAAAUUGAUAUACAGAAUUCACUAUUUCCUAAAUACCAUUUAAAGAA